UCUUUACUGUCAAAGACCACACGGCACGAACAUUCUCCAGGAGACGUGGAGAAAGCAUGGAAGGAAUGUCUGUGGAGGAUGUAAAACACCCAUUCUUAAGGACACCUGCUGGAGUAUGGUUGACUGGAAGUCUGUCAGUCCAGAUGUGAGGAAGACAUACAGAGUGGACUUGGAGCUCAGCAGGUGUGAUGGCUGUAGAUACUGUGGCCAUGGAAAGAAGGGGGUCUUCACAGCUUUCUAUUCAGACAAAGAGUUUG
ensembl:lncRNA